UUUUUUGGUACCUGGGAUCGAACUCAGGACCUUCCUUGUAAGGCCGUUGGUGGUACCACUGAGCUAAAUCCCUGGGCCUCUUUUCUUAUUUUUAAUUUUUGAGACAGGGUCUUGCUAAGCCACUGAGUUGCCCAGGCUGGGCUUGAAUUUGUGAUCCUCCUGCUUCAGCCUCCCAGAGUGCUGGGAUGACAGGUGUGCACCACCAUGCCCGGCAAAUCGCACCUAUCCUAGUCCCUGAUGAAAUGCCUUCUCUCCAGGGGUCAUGUUUCCCAGCUGUUUAGCCCCCCCCCCCCAUACAGAGGCACACACCUGGACAGAGCUCAUCAUCACCAGAGGGCUCCAGAGCAAUCCAUUUGAAAACUUUCCCUCAGAUCAAGAACUUGCUAUGGCUCCUUGUGUCAGCCACUUCAGAAACCUGUUCCUAGUAGGUUCCCAGCUGCACUCCUAGGUGUCGAGCUCCCCUACUGUAGCCCAGAAUGCGGCCCGUGUUCACCUUCCACCGUAUGCUGGAAGGUCAGAAGUGACUUUCUUCUCAGUAGUGACUUGGUUUGGAAUGUGCCCCUGGCUCCCUGGCAGCUUGGGCAGCAGAGGGCACGUUUGGCCGGUGAGCUAGAUGGACCAGGAUGCCUGUGGCUCUGUCCCCUGGGCGGCCACCCCAGCUGCCAUGCGCCCGCCCCUUGCUCUGUGACCUGUGCCCUUCCUCUGCCUGCGUGUGGACCAGCGUGUGGACCAGUGGCUGAGCCUGAGAGGGAGCACCUGGUGGAGGGACCCGCCCCUGCCGUCUUGACAGAGGACACAGCCACACUCUGCCAGCCCUGCCACUGCCGGCGGCCACUCCCUCACAGCCCAGCCUGGUCCUUGGCAGCCUCACCCCUUCUCAAGCCUUGUCUUAGCCAGCAGCCACCUCCCCUUCCAGCCCCCCAACCCCCAUGAUCCUUUAAAGGACCCCAGAGCCCCGAGGAGAGCAUCCCGUUUGGUCUCAGCGCCACAGCAGCCCACUCAGGUUUGU
rnacentral:lncRNA from 1 species